AGAGCGAACGCUGGCGGCAGGCCUAACACAUGCAAGUCGAGCGCCCGUAGCAAUACGGGAGCGGCAGACGGGAGAGUAACACGUGGGAACGCGCCCUUCGGUUCGGAAUAACUCAGGGAAACUUGAGCUAAUACCGGAUACGCCCUUACGGGGAAAGAUUUAUUGCCGAAGGAACGGCCCGCGUCCGAUUAGCUUGUUGGUGAGGUAACGGCUCACCAAGGCGACGAUCGGUAGCUGGUCUGAGAGGAUGACCAGCCUCACUGGGACUGAGACACGGCCCAGACUCCUACGGGAGGCAGCAGUGGGGAAUAUUGGACAAUGGCGCAAGCCUGAUCCAGCCAUGCCGCGUGGAUGAUGAAGGCCCUAGGGUUGUAAAGUCCUUUUAACGGGGAAGAUAAUGACGGUACCCGUAGAAUAAGCCCCGGCUAACUUCGUGCCAGCAGCCGC
rnacentral:rRNA from 1 species